rnacentral:rRNA from 1 species
AUUUGACCUCAAAUGCAGGUAGGAACUA